rnacentral:rRNA from 1 species
GACGAACGCUGGCGGCGUGCUUAACACAUGCAAGUCGAACGGAAAGGCCCUGCUUUUGUGGGGUGCUCGAGUGGCGAACGGGUGAGUAACAAGUAAGUAACCUGCCCUUGACUUUGGGAUAACUUCAGGAAACUGGGGCUAAUACCGGAUAGGAGCUCCUGCUGCAUGGUGGGGGUUGGAAAGUUUCGGCGGUUGGGGAUGAGCUCGCGGUUUAUCAGCUUGUUGGUGGGGUAGUGGCUUACCAAGGCUUUGACGGGUAGCCGGCCUGGGAGGGUGACAGGCACAUUGGGACUGAGAUACGGCCCAGACUCCUACGGGAGGCAGCAGUGGGGAAUAUUGCACAAUGGGCGGAAGCCUGAUGCAGAGACGCCGCGUGCGGGAUGACGGCCUUCGGGUUGUAAACCGCUUUCGCCUGUGACGAAGCGUGAGUGACGGUAAUGGGUAAAGAAGCACCGGCUAACUACGUG